rnacentral:lncRNA from 1 species
UGGAAGAGCAAAUUCAAAGAAAAAUCCAAAAGAAUAGUCCUCGAGUCGACUCCUGGAUAGUACGAGUCGACUCCAGGGAGUAACAAGACAGAAACACAGAGAAGCUAUUUUGGAUCCUGAGAGCCGAGUCGACUCCUGAGGAACUCGAGUCGACUCCGAUGGUUGGCAGGUCGACUCCAAAGGAAGCUAGAGUCGACUCCCAGAGGAAAACAAGCAAAAAGUCAGAGAGCCAAUUUCAGACACUGAGAGCCGAAUCGACUCCCGCAAAAUCCGAGUCGACUCCGAGGCAGUGCAACCUCAAAGACAGAAGACGGCAUUUUCGUCUCUGAGAGGCGAGUCGACUCCAAGACAGUUCGAGUCGACUCCAAGGCAGCGCGACCCCAAAAGACAGAA